GAUGAACGCUGGCGGCGUGCCUAAUACAUGCAAGUCGAGCGAACAGGCGAGGAGCUUGCUCCUCUGACGUUAGCGGCGGACGGGUGAGUAACACGUGGAUAACCUACCUAUAAGACUGGGAUAACUUCGGGAAACCGGAGCUAAUACCGGAUAAUAUAUUGAACCGCAUGGUUCAAUAGUGAAAGACGGUUUUGCUGUCACUUAUAGAUGGAUCCGCACCGCAUUAGCUAGUUGGUAAGGUAACGGCUUACCAAGGCGACGAUGCGUAGCCGACCUGAGAGGGUGAUCGGCCACACUGGAACUGAGACACGGUCCAGACUCCUACGGGAGGCAGCAGUAGGGAAUCUUCCGCAAUGGGCGAAAGCCUGACGGAGCAACGCCGCGUGAGGGAUGAAGGUCUUCGGAUCGUAAAACUCUGUUAUUAGGGAAGAACAAAUGUGUAAGUAACUAUGCACGUCUUGACGGUACCUAAUCAGAAAGCCACGGCUAACUACGUG
rnacentral:rRNA from 1 species